UUUGAUGCAUCCUGGCAGGCAAGUGCAACAUCCAGCAACAGAAGGCAAACAUGGAGAGCAGUUGUCUCAUCAAUAGGCUCAAUAUUGUGAUACAAAGGUUCUAGAACUGACAAUGCUUUUGUAUAUUCAUGAAGAUGAAAACAGAUAAUUGCAAUGUUUAAUGUUGCAACUGCCGGAUCAAAUUCAUCCAUGUAAACCAGUGUUGCACCAUUUGUAGCAGAAAAUUGAUGUGCUGUUGUAGCACUUCCUUUAGAGCCAGAAAUAACUUUAUUUCCAGUAUUGCUCCCAGCAUCAACCUGCUCCCCUGAAGCCUGAGCAAGCUGCUCACUUUUCUCCUUCACAUUAUUAAGUACUUCAAGCAACUUCCUUGGAUCCGAACAACCAUCACGAAAGUAUUCCGCAAUUGCAAUAUUAUGAAGCACUUUGGGAUCGUCUUCUUUCUUUAACUUGAGCUGGUACAAAACAGCCAGGCACUCCGUGAAACGGCGAGACUGGAAAUGCAAGGCCG
rnacentral:misc_RNA from 1 species